UUUUUCAUGUAGUGGCCACUAAGGCUCAAGGUGGUAAUGCUCAAGUUUCAACUUCAACAAGCAUUUUGCCUCCUCCAACUCCAUCACAUUUGUAAUGCUCAAGUCAAGUGCCUACUUUUGUUUGCGUUGUAAACUAAUUAAAACUUCUACUUUUUUUUGGGUUGUAAAUUAAUUCAAACUUACACUUUUUUUUUGGGUUGUAAACUAAUUCAAACUUACACUUUUUUUUUGGGUUGUAAAUUAAUUCAAACUUCUUCUUUUAUUGGGUUGUAACUUAAGUUUAACUAUGUCGUACUUUGGAUUUGGAUGUUUAGUUUAGUUUUAGGCUUCAAUUUAUGUUUUGAGCAUGUUUAAUUGUAGUUUUAGCUUUUACUUUUAAAUUUCUUAUUUUAUCAUGUUUGCCCAAGUAACUGUCCAAAAACAAUCCUUAAAACAUUGCCCAACAAAACUGGGUUAAAA
rnacentral:lncRNA from 1 species